GUGUCUGGCAUUGUUUCCAGGAACGACUAUUGUGUUUGUUCCUGAGCUGUUGAAGCUGACUGUGACUGUGUUGUGUGUCUCUGUGCAGGGACAGACAGUGUGUCUCCAGCCUGUGGUCCGGAUAGAGGAAGCCCUGUACCACUACCAGCCCCUCCACAUCCUCACCUACGGACCCCCGGUACCAGAGCUGGAACAGCUGGGCAGGCUAGGGUAUCUGAACCACGUGCGAGCCGCCCUGCCCGCGGAUACGGCUGGAGGGUACAACUCAGGGCUGGCGUGUCAUCGAGCCAUCCAGGACGCCUUCAGCGGGAUGUUUCCUGCACUGGGCUGACCCCCCCCGGGGCAGAGGGAGCACCCCCACCAGGGGGGGGGGAUGAACUGGCUGGGCUGGAUUCAGAGCGCCUCCCCGCUCUGGCCUGGAGCGAGGGCUGCCACCGUGGUGUGACGGCUACGAUCAGAAUGUACAGAUUAUCGUUUUGUUUUGUCCUUUUUUUUUUUUUUAUAUAUAAAGACCAUUAAAACACA